rnacentral:rRNA from 1 species
UACGUAGGGGGCAAGCGUUGUCCGGAAUUAUUGGGCGUAAAGCGCGCGCAGGCGGUCAUUUAAGUUUGGUGUUUAAGCCCGGGGCUCAACCCCGGAUCGCACUGAAAACUGGGUGACUUGAGUGCGGGAGAGGAAAGUGGAAUUCCACGUGUAGCGGUGAAAUGCGUAGAGAUGUGGAGGAACACCAGUGGCGAAGGCGACUUUCUGGACCGUAACUGACGCUGAGGCGCGAAAGCGUGGGGAGCAAACAGGAUUAGAUACCCUGGUAGUCCACGCCGUAAACGAUGAGUGCUAGGUGUUAGGGGUUUCGAUACCCUUGGUGCCGAAGUCAACACAGUAAGCACUCCGCCUGGGGAGUACGCUCGCAAGAGUGAA